UACGAAGGGGGCUAGCGUUGCUCGGAAUUACUGGGCGUAAAGCGCACGUAGGCGGCUUUCUAAGUCGGGGGUGAAAUCCUGGAGCUCAACUCCAGAACUGCCUUCGAUACUGGAGAGCUUGAGUCCGGGAGAGGUGAGUGGAACUGCGAGUGUAGAGGUGAAGUUCGUAGAUAUUCGCAAGAACACCAGUGGCGAAGGCGGCUCACUGGCCCGGUACUGACGCUGAGGUGCGAAAGCGUGGGAGCAACAGG
rnacentral:rRNA from 1 species